rnacentral:rRNA from 2 species
AGCAUAGCGAUUUGGGAUAAGUCCCUUGGAAGAGGGCAGCAUGGAGGGUGAUACUCCCGUCUCUGCUCAGGUUGUCUGUGUGUACGAUACGCUUUCUUUGAGUCGAGUUGUUUGGGAAUACAGCUCAAAGCAGGUGGUAAAUUCCAUCUAAAGCUAAAUAUUGGUGCGAGACCGAUAGCGAACAAGUACCGUGAGGGAAAGAUGAAAAGAACUUUGAAAAGAGAGUUAAAGAGUACCUGAAACUGUUGAAAGGGAACCGUAUCGUUUCUAGUGUGUAUCCUAUGCAUAUCUCAUUGGCGGUUGUAAAAUUGCUGGUGCCCUGUAUAUGGGUGUGACGUCAGAGUCAGUUUGAAUUGCGGGAGAUGGGUAGUGAGGAGGUGCGUCACUUUUUGUGAAAGUUACAGCUCGCUAUCUAGUAGCCGUGGUUGAGACUGAGGUGCC